GAUGAACGCUGGCGGCGUGCCUAAUACAUGCAAGUCGAGCGAACGGACGAGAAGCUUGCUUCUCUGAUGUUAGCGGCGGACGGGUGAGUAACACGUGGAUAACCUACCUACAAGACUGGGAUAACUUCGGGAAACCGGAGCUAAUACCGGAUAAUAUUUUGAACCGCAUGGUUCAAAAGUGAAAGACGGUCUUGCUGUCACUUAUAGAUGGAUCCGCGCUGCAUUAGCUAGUUGGUAAGGUAACGGCUUACCAAGGCAACGAUGCAUAGCCGACCUGAGAGGGUGAUCGGCCACACUGGAACUGAGACACGGUCCAGACUCCUACGGGAGGCAGCAGUAGGGAAUCUUACGCAAUGGGCGAAAGCCUGACGGAGCAACGCCGCGUGAGUGAUGAAGGUCUUCGGAUCGUAAAACUCUGUUAUUAGGGAAGAACAUAUGUGUAAGUAACUGUGCACAUCUUGACGGUACCUAAUCAGAAAGCCACGGCUAACUACGUG
rnacentral:rRNA from 1 species